CGCUAGCAGUUCCUCUGUCCUUUAUAUUGCCCGUCUGCUUUUCCAGACUUUUCCAUCCCCCGCAUCUCCGUACAGUGCAACGGCAGAUCAGAGUAAAUGCAACGCAACAAAAGUUUACAGUGCCAGACCUUCGCAUUAACAGGUCAAUGUGAGUUCAUAUUAAAACAAGCAUCCAAUACUUUAAUAUUACAGCUAUAAGGCAAACAGUACAGGUUAAACCCACAAUACCGUUGUUGUUGUUGUUGUUGUUGUUGUUCUUAAAGGAAACUAUGCCCUAUAACUCUGAAUUUAUCCAAUUUAUUAACUGACUUUAAAACCGCAAGUAUCGCAGUUGAAUUCAGAGAACUAAAGCUGCAUUUACUGCAUUAAUUCAAGCAAGAAGGCAUUCAUUUCCGGACAUUAUUCAUUUUUAUAACUUUAUUCCGCUAUUGUCACACUGGGCAGGUGCCACGUGUAGAAUGGGCAGCUGUCCCACUUUUUAUCCAACUGCGCAGUGAGACCAUUAUUAUUACUGUUGUUGUCAUCGUCGUCAUUGUUAUUCUCUGUCCCACAUGUUGAGAUAAUCUCCCAAAUUUUGCUGUAGUUUGCAAAGGUCAGAAGUGCAGAACAGACACUUUUCUAAUGCAAAUGAAGAAAGUAAGGCUGAGAUCAUGACUGAAGUUUAGGCGAACAAUGCUGCCUAUGCUAUACCCAACAAGGAAAGCUGUAUAUAGAUAUUGUUAUAUUCCCUCUGUGUGGCUCCAAAAGAAGUGUUCUAUGUAUAUCUCUGACUGUAACCCCAGUAAAAUACAGUAAAAUCAAAUGUAUUUAUAUUUGCAACAUAUCCUUCACAAAUUCCAGUGUCUUUGUUCCACAUUAAGUUUGUUUGGAUUUGGUCACACUUGCCACAUGUGAUUACAAUUAACAGCAUUUUUCUUAUACAGAAAAUCUUUUUGUUUUACAAAUAGUUAACUUUAUUCACUCUUUCUCUUGUCUUGUUUUUCUUCUCUGGCUUUCCUCUUUUUUUUUCCUUUCUGUAAAUCUGUGUGUGUGAUUGACUGCGUGUGCACCUCCUCUCCCAGUUCAGUCCAGUGUUCCAUACUGGGUUUGUGUGCAGGCUGAGGAGGCAGAUCAAAGCAGUGCUGUUACCCAUUCCACCCUCAGCUUCAGCGCGGCUGUGUGGUGGAAGAAGUCCCUGCUACAGAUAAGCCAAACAACCUGUGUGGCCCAGUGCUAGGACCACUGACUGCACACAGUUUCAUAUUUGUAAAUUUGUUAAAGUUUUGUGAGAAAGCAGGCAAUAUGUCUGCGCUUGUGUGGGUGAGGGUUUUUUUGCAUGCUUGUUUCUUUGAUCUGUCAUGUCAAAACCAGAUAAGGGUGUGUUUGCCAUUAAACAGUUGGCAGCUGGUGGCCUAGAAACUGAAACUGGUGCCUAAACUCACAGUUGUUUUGUUUUGCUCACUUUCUGCUCGUCAAGGUCCUCUGUGUGUGUUACCUGCCAAAAGAUGGCGCUAAACGAUAGGAAGACAGAAGCUGACGUCAUCAGUCGUUGAAGGUCAACAGAUAAGCUGUGGGAAACUGUCACUGCAAAUCAGUCCUGUUAACAGCUAUAAUAAACACGACAGUCAAAAAGGGUGAUUUUAAGACAUUUUCUCAGGUGAAACACUACAAUAAGCUGCACCUGCUUUUACUGCAUUGAAGUUUUUACUGAUUUCAGUGGAGCACAGCUGAAAUUAGCAUAAAAAGUCAAAAGAUUAUGCAAGUGUCCUAAACUGUGUAAUGAUUUAUCAGGUGUUUCAACUUUGUACAGAUUUUUUGUUUGUAAAUAGAAAGAAAAUUAUUUUUGUAUUACAUUUCAAAUAAUAAGAAGCACAGAUCAAAUGUUUUAUACACUUUGAACAAGGUUUACUGUUCGGCUUUAAGCAAGGAAAAUACAGAGUUGUUGUCUGAAUGUGAUACACACUGAAUUAAAGUUAUCAUUUUUUCCACUUUAA